rnacentral:rRNA from 1 species
GAUGAACGCUGGCGGCGUGCCUAAUACAUGCAAGUCGAGCGAACGGACGAGGAGCUUGCUUCUCUGAUGUUAGCGGCGGACGGGUGAGUAACACGUGGAUAACCGACCUAUAAGACUGGGAUAACUUCGGGAAACCGGAGCUAAUACCGGAUAAUAUUUUGAACCGCAUGGUUCAAAAGUGAAAGACGGUCUUGCUGUCACUUAUAGAUGGAUCCGCGCUGCAUUAGCUAGUUGGUAAGGUAACGGCUUACCAAGGCAACGAUGCAUAGCCGACCUGAGAGGGUGAUCGGCCACACUGGAACUGAGACACGGUCCAGACUCCUACGGGAGGCAGCAGUAGGGAAUCUUCCGCAAUGGGCGAAAGCCUGACGGAGCAACGCCGCGUGAGUGAUGAAGGUCUUCGGAUCGUAAAACUCUGUUAUUAGGGAAGAACAUAUGUGUAAGUAACUGUGCACAUCUUGACGGUACCUAAUCAGAAAGCCACGGCUAACUACGUGCCAGCAGCCGCGGUAAUACGUAGGUGGCAAGCGUUAUCCGGAAUUAUUGGGCGUAAAGCGCGCGUAGGCGGUUUUUUAAGUCUGAUGUGAAAGCCCACGGCUCAACCGUGGAGGGUCAUUGGAAACUGGAAAACUUGAGUGCAGAAGAGGAAAGUGGAAUUCCAUGUGUAGCGGUGAAAUGCGCAGAGAUAUGGAGGAACACCAGUGGCGAAGGCGACUUUCUGGUCUGUAACUGACGCUGAUGUGCGAAAGCGUGGGGAUCAAACAGGAUUAGAUACCCUGGUAGUCCACGCCGUAAACGAUGAGUGCUAAGUGUUAGGGGGUUUCCGCCCCUUAGUGCUGCAGCUAACGCAUUAAGCACUCCGCCUGGGGAGUACGACCGCAAGGUUGAAACUCAAAGGAAUUGACGGGGACCCGCACAAGCGGUGGAGCAUGUGGUUUAAUUCGAAGCAACGCGAAGAACCUUACCAAAUCUUGACAUCCUUUGACAACUCUAGAGAUAGAGCCUUCCCCUUCGGGGGGGGCAAAGUGACAGGUGGUGCAUGGUUGUCGUCAGCUCGUGUCGUGAGAUGUUGGGUUAAGUCCCGCAACGAGCGCAACCCUUAAGCUUAGUUGCCAUCAUUAAGUUGGGCACUCUAAGUUGACUGCCGGUGACAAACCGGAGGAAGGUGGGGAUGACGUCAAAUCAUCAUGCCCCUUAUGAUUUGGGCUACACACGUGCUACAAUGGACAAUACAAAGGGCAGCGAAACCGCGAGGUCAAGCAAAUCCCAUAAAGUUGUUCUCAGUUCGGAUUGUAGUCUGCAACUCGACUACAUGAAGCUGGAAUCGCUAGUAAUCGUAGAUCAGCAUGCUACGGUGAAUACGUUCCCGGGUCU